GGUUCUAGGGGUAAAGUAGUGGGCUGGCAUGUUGCCUCUUUCGAGCUAAAGCCCGCUGGCCGAGGAGAGAGGAGCGACUCGAGCGAGUGUCAAAAUCCUUACACGGUGAUCCUGAGGAUCGACAUGGUUGUUUACGAGAUCCAAUUUUCGAAUCAGCUGCAGGUGGGUCUGAGGCUCUGCUGCAAUUCGGCUUUCCGUGGCUUGAAAAGGCUUGCAUGAAGCAAUUGGCUGGAGCCGCAUCUCAAACCCUUGAAUAUAUUAUUCUUCAUUGGUUUUUGUGAGAGAGAUAUGGCAUGCUUUGAAUUACUCUGUAGUUCAAGGACUUGGUGGACAAUGAAAUUAGCCCACCUAACAAGUUGUGUUUGAUCAAACAUGAGGCGGAAUUUCUUGGAAUCGGGAGCUCCAGAGAAAUCCGAACACCACUGCGGCC
rnacentral:sRNA from 1 species